rnacentral:rRNA from 1 species
GACGAACGCUGGCGGCGUGCCUAAUACAUGCAAGUCGAACGCAGUGGGGACGGGUGAGUAACACGUGGGUAACCUCCCAUCAGAGGGGAUAACACUUGGCAACAGGUGCUAAACCGAUACUGAUGGAUGGACUCGCGGUGCAUUAGCUAGUUGGUGAGGUAACGGCUCACCAAGGCGACGAGGCAUAGCCGACCGGAGAGGGUGAUCGGCCACACUGGAACUGAGACACGGCCCAGACUCCUACGGGAGGCAGCAGUAGGGAAUAUUGGGCAAUGGGCGAAAGUCUGACCGAGCAAUGCCGCGUGAGUGAAGAAGGUUUUCGGAUCGUAAAGCUCUGUUGUUAGGGAGGCGGUAUCUAACCAGAAAGCCACGGCUAACUACGUGCCAGCCGCCGCGGUAAUUC